rnacentral:ncRNA from 15 species
AUCUUAUCAAGAGAAGCUGAGGGACUGGCCCUAUGAAGCUUCAGCAACCGGUCAACAACGAGUGAAGAUCCAUGGAUACGGUGAUUGUCUCAAAGUUCGAAAAUAACCAAAGUUGUUUU